CCCGGGCCUUGUACACACCGCCCGUCACACCACGAAAGUCGGCAACACCCGAAGUCAGUGGCCUAACCCUCACGGGGAGGAGCUGCCGAAGGUGGGGUUGGCGAUUGGGGUG
rnacentral:rRNA from 1 species